rnacentral:tRNA from 3 species
GGGUCUGUAGCUCAGUCGGUUAGAGCAGCGGACUCAUAAUCCGUUGGUCCUGGGUUCAAGUCCCAGCAGACCUA